UACGUAGGGUGCAAGCGUUGUCCGGAAUUAUUGGGCGUAAAGAGCUCGUAGGCGGUCUGUCGCGUCGAAUGUGAAAACCCGGGGCUCAACCCCGGGCCUGCAUUCGAUACGGGCAGACUAGAGUUCGGUAGGGGAGUCUGGAAUUCCUGGUGUAGCGGUGAAAUGCGCAGAUAUCAGGAAGAACACCCGUGGCGAAGGCGGCUCUCUGGGACGGUACUGACGCUGAGACGCGAAAGCGUGGGGAGCGAACAGG
rnacentral:rRNA from 1 species